AAGUCGAGGGGCAGCACGAUCUUCGGAUUGGUGGCGACCGGCGCACGGGUGCGUAACGCGUAUAGAACCUACCUUUUACAGAGGGAUAGCCCAGAGAAAUUUGGAUUAAUACCUCAUAGUAUUAUAGAUUGGCAUCGAUUAUAAUUAAACACUUAUGGGUAAGAGAUGGCUAUGCGUCUUAUUAGUUAGUUGGUAAGGUAACGGCUUACCAAGACAGCGAUAGGUAGGGGUCCUGAGAGGGAGACCCUCCACACUGGUACUGAGACACGGACCAGACUCC
rnacentral:rRNA from 1 species